GUGCCGCAGUGGUGUUUUGUAGUUUCCCACCACGGAUUGCUGACCAAAGGAGAACGGCGACAGGAAGGCAAGCGGUAU
rnacentral:sRNA from 12 species